GACGGAGGGGGCUAGCGUUGUUCGGAAUGACUGGGCGUAAAGGGCGUGUAGGCUGUUGGUCAAGUCAAGCGUGAAAGCCUCGGGCUUAACCCGAGAACUGCGUUUGAUACUGGUUGACUUGAGGACGAGAGAGGAAAGUGGAAUUCCGAGUGUAGAGGUGAAAUUCGUAGAUAUUCGGAGGAACAUCAGAGGCGAAGGCGGCUUUCUGGCUCGUAUCUGACGCUGAGGCGCGAAAGCGUGGGGAGCAAACAGG
rnacentral:rRNA from 1 species